rnacentral:lncRNA from 1 species
AUUUCAUCUCUUUCAGAAUUUAUAUUAGCUUGUCCUUGGUACCAUCUUGAAAUGUUAUUUUAAAUCUCUUUAUGCUGCUCCAAAAGAAUGACUUCCCUAGACAGUCAAGGUUUUGUCUCCUAAUCCAACUAAAGGGUAGGAGACCUUGAUUAAAUUAUUUUUGUCUAAAUCUAACUUAUCAAAAACCUCAAGAUCAAGAAGGUGAUGCAGAGCUCAAGGUCAACUUAUGAUAAAAAAAAAAUCCA